rnacentral:rRNA from 1 species
GACGAACGCUGGCGGCGUGCUUAACACAUGCAAGUCGAACGGAAAGGCCCUGCUUUUGUGGGGUGCUCGAGUGGCGAACGGGUGAGUAACACGUGAGUAACCUGCCCUUGACUUUGGGAUAACUUCAGGAAACUGGGGCUAAUACCGGAUAGGAGCUCCUGCUGCAUGGUGGGGGUUGGAAAGUUUCGGCGGUUGGGGAUGGACUCGCGGCUUAUCAGCUUGUUGGUGGGGUAGUGGCUUACCAAGGCUUUGACGGGUAGCCGGCCUGAGAGGGUGACCGGCCACAUUGGGACUGAGAUACGGCCCAGACUCCUACGGGAGGCAGCAGUGGGGAAUAUUGCACAAUGGGCGGAAGCCUGAUGCAGCAACGCCGCGUGAGGGAUGACGGCCUUCGGGUUGUAAACCGCUUUCGCCUGUGACGAAGCGUGAGUGACGGUAAUGGGUAAAGAAGCACCGGCUAACUACGUGCCAGCAGCCGCGGUGAUACGUAGGGUGCGAGCGUUGUCCGGAUUUAUUGGGCGUAAAGGGCUCGUAGGUGGUUGAUCGCGUCGGAAGUGUAAUCUUGGGGCUUAACCCUGAGCGUGCUUUCGAUACGGGUUGACUUGAGGAAGGUAGGGGAGAAUGGAAUUCCUGGUGGAGCGGUGGAAUGCGCAGAUAUCAGGAGGAACACCAGUGGCGAAGGCGGUUCUCUGGGCCUUUCCUGACGCUGAGGAGCGAAAGCGUGGGGAGCGAACAGGCUUAGAUACCCUGGUAGUCCACGCUGUAAACGGUGGGUACUAGGUGUGGGGUCCGUUCCACGGGUUCCGUGCCGUAGCUAACGCUUUAAGUACCCCGCCUGGGGAGUACGGCCGCAAGGCUAAAACUCAAAGGAAUUGACGGGGCCCCGCACAAGCGGCGGAGCAUGCGGAUUAAUUCGAUGCAACGCGUAGAACCUUACCUGGGUUUGACAUGGAUCGGGAGCGCUCAGAGAUGGGUGUGCCUCUUUUGGGGUCGGUUCACAGGUGGUGCAUGGCUGUCGUCAGCUCGUGUCGUGAGAUGUUGGGUUAAGUCCCGCAACGAGCGCAACCCUUGUUCACUGUUGCCAGCACGUUAUGGUGGGGACUCAGUGGAGACCGCCGGGGUCAACUCGGAGGAAGGUGGGGAUGACGUCAAGUCAUCAUGCCCCUUAUGUCCAGGGCUUCACGCAUGCUACAAUGGCUGGUACAGAGAGUGGCGAGCCUGUGAGGGUGAGCGAAUCUCGGAAAGCCGGUCUCAGUUCGGAUUGGGGUCUGCAACUCGACCUCAUGAAGUCGGAGUCGCUAGUAAUCGCAGAUCAGCAACGCUGCGGUGAAUACGUUCCCGGGGCU